CCUACGGGAGGCUGCAGUGGGGAAUAUUGGACAAUGGGGGGAACCCUGAUCCAGCCAUGCCGCGUGUGUGAAGAAGGCCCUCGGGUUGUAAAGCACUUUCAGUGAGGAAGAACGCCUGGUGGUUAAUACCCAUCAGGAAAGACAUCACUCACAGAAGAAGCACCGGCUAACUCCGUGCCAGCAGCCGCGGUAAUACGGAGGGUGCGAGCGUUAAUCGGAAUAACUGGGCGUAAAGCGCGCGUAGGUGGCUUGAUAAGCCGGUUGUGAAAGCCCCGGGCUCAACCUGGGAACGGCAUCCGGAACUGUCAAGCUAGAGUGCAGGAGAGGAAGGUAGAAUUCCCGGUGUAGCGGUGAAAUGCGUAGAGAUCGGGAGGAAUACCAGUGGCGAAGGCGGCCUUCUGGACUGACACUGACACUGAGGUGCGAAAGCGUGGGUAGCAAACAGGAUUAGAUACCCUGGUAGUC
rnacentral:rRNA from 1 species